rnacentral:lncRNA from 1 species
CCAGGAAGCUAGCAGAGAGGACAGGGGAAUCCAACAUGGCAUAUCCAUCCCAUGGAAAAGUAUUUCUGUUGGUUUUGACUGGGCCACUGGGGCCUGGGGCUGUCUAGGGUCCUAGGAAUCAUCAACAGGGCACUCAGAAGAGUCUACAUAGAGGCCAGGAGAGUAAAUAGAGGAUGAGGACUGUUAACAAAACCAGGUCUUAAGUGUUCCAGGCCCUGGCUGUCAACAGAGAGCCAUGUAAUCGAGUGAAUGUGCCAGGUGCUCCAGCUGAAGCAGUGCACCAAUGGAAGCUGCUGAGGGAUGGGGGAGAGCGUCUGCCAGGGUUCCUUUGACUCAGAUA